CCAACGGCUCUUUUAAGAGCCACCAACAUACUUCAGAGGAAAGAG
rfam:Ailuropoda melanoleuca scaffold2498_8, whole genome shotgun sequence.